UCCGAUGUAGCUCUGUUGGAAGUAGCACCUGAAUGUUACACAGGUUAUCGCAGGUUCGAGUCCUGCCUUCGGAG
rnacentral:tRNA from 1 species